CAUCCUCCAAGGCUAAAUACUCCUGACUGACCGAUAGUGAACCAGUACCGUGAGGGAAAGGCGAAAAGAACCCCGGCGAGGGGAGUGAAAAAGAACCUGAAACCGUGUACGUACAAGCAGUGGGAGCACAGGUUUACCUGUGUGACUGCGUACCUUUUGUAUAAUGGGUCAGCGACUUAUAUUCUGUAGCAAGGUUAACCGAAUAGGGGAGCCGGAGGGAAACCGAGUCUUAAUUGGGCGUUAAGUUGCAGGGUAUAGACCCGAAACC
rnacentral:rRNA from 13 species